UACGUAGGGACCAAGCGUUGUCCGGAAUCACUGGGCGUAAAGGGCGCGUAGGCGGCUCAUGAAGGCUGUGGUGAAAGUCCGGGGCUCAACCUCGGAUCGGCCGUGGCGACUCGUGGGCUGGAGCACUGUAGAGGCGGGUGGAAUUCCGGGUGUAGCGGUGGAAUGCGUAGAGAUCCGGAAGAACACCAGUGGCGAAGGCGGCCCGCUGGGCAGUGGCUGACGCUGAAGCGCGACAGCGUGGGGAGCAAACAGG
rnacentral:rRNA from 1 species